UGCAAGUCCUACUACGGUUGCGCGGGUUUUUCUCUGGGAACCCUCAUUGCGCACAAAUCCAGCCCGUCGCCAGUACCGCCAAAUGCAGUCUGGCUGGAAAAGAUCAUCCCGUUUUCAUCCUCCCAGUGAAUGAUAACCACUAAACUAAAGCCUGGAGUUUUGGGGCUAUUACUGUGUGGCAUGCGGUAUCUUAAUUCCCCAACCAGGGAUCGAACCUAUGCCGCCUGCGUUGGGAGCACAGAGUCUUAACCACUGGAGUGCCAGGGAAGGCCCAGGAAGGUGUCUCCGUCAAGAUGGGGGGCGUGGCAGCAGCCCAGAAGUGAAAUGAAGUGGGGGUCGAGGGGCAAGUGAGGGUCGCUGGGCAGUCCGAAGGCGGCCCCACAAGCCCCGCCGCGAAGCUGACUGACAGUGCCCUGAGCCAAUGAUUGAAGUCACUGUGAGGCUCAACGUUAACCCUUUCUUGGGUCCUUGUUUGCUUUUGGGGAUAGAGUCCCUUCCCAGGAACUGUUCUCUAGUCCUGAAUCCCACCUGCACGAGGUCGGUGAUGAGUACCAGCCGGAAGAUCCUUUCGUCCUAGUCACCCCAGGUAGUAAUCUCAGAUAAUCUGCAGCCCUAGCUCCUCCGACCCCCUACCCCCACCCCAAAAGUAAACUGUAUUACAAAA